AUGUGCACGCUUCAACCACACAUACAAUAAAAUUGGAACAAUACAGAAAUUAGCAUGGCCCCUGCACAUGGAUGACAUGAAAAUUCGUGACGCAUUCCAUAUUUUU